UACGUAGGGUGCAAGCGUUUGUCCGGAAUUAUUGGGCGUAAAGAGCUCGUAGGCGGUUUGUCGCGUCUGCUGUGAAAACCCGAGGCUCAACCUCGGGCCUGCAGUGGGUACGGGCAGACUAGAGUGCGGUAGGGGAGAUUGGAAUUCCUGGUGUAGCGGUGGAAUGCGCAGAUAUCAGGAGGAACACCAAUGGCGAAGGCAGAUCUCUGGGCCGUAACUGACGCUGAGGAGCGAAAGCGUGGGGGAGCGAACAGG
rnacentral:rRNA from 1 species